UGCGUAGGCGGGUUUGUAAGUCAGUGGUGAAAUCCUGCCGCUUAACGGUAGAAUUGCCAUUGAUACUGCGAAUCUUGAGUAUGGUUGAGGUAGGCGGAAUGUGUAGUGUAGCGGUGAAAUGCAUAGAUAUUACACAGAACUCCGAUUGCGAAGGCAGCUUACUAAGCCAUAACUGACGCUGAGGCACGAAAGCGUGGGGAGCGAACAGGAUUAGAUACCCUGGUAGUCC
rnacentral:rRNA from 1 species